GAAUACGAACAUCUGUUGAAUGGCCCAAACACAAUGGGAUUUGAUAACGUUGAACCGUUAUCUUGGCCAUCAUGGGUACAACCACCUGAAAACAAUAGCCAACAUAAUUCAUACGAUGAUCCGAGACCUGGGCCAUCAUGGAUGCCAGACGAUGUAGCCGAUAAUGAACAAAGUGUACCCGGUAAGUAUA